rnacentral:rRNA from 1 species
CUUAUGCGUUGUUGGGUAGGGGAGCGUUCUGUAAGCCUGCGAAGGUGUGCUGUGAGGCAUGCUGGAGGUAUCAGAAGUGCGAAUGCUGACAUAAGUAACGAUAAAGCGGGUGAAAAGCCCGCUCGCCGGAAGACCAAGGGUUCCUGUCCAACGUUAAUCGGGGCAGGGUGAGUCGACCCCUAAGGCGAGGCCGAAAGGCGUAGUCGAUGGGAAACAGGUUAAUAUUCCUGUACUUGGUGUUACUGCGAAGGGGGGACGGAGAAGGCUAUGUUGGCCGGGCGACGGUUGUCCCGGUUUAAGCGUGUAGGCUGGUUUUCCAGGCAAAUCCGGAAAAUCAAGGCUGAGGCGUGAUGACGAGGCACUACGGUGCUGAAGC